CCUACGGGCGGCAGCAGUGGGGAAUAUUGCACAAUGGGCGCAAGCCUGAUGCAGCCAUGCCGCGUGUGUGAAGAAGGCCUUCGGGUUGUAAAGCAUUUUCAGCGGGGAGGAAGGCGGUGAGGUUAAUAACCUCAUCGAUUGACGUUACCCGCAGAAGAAGCACCGGCUAACUCCGUGCCAGCAGCCGCGGUAAUACGGAGGGUGCAAGCGUUAAUCGGAAUUACUGGGCGUAAAGCGCACGCAGGCGGUCUGUCAAGUCGGAUGUGAAAUCCCCGGGCUCAACCUGGGAACUGCAUUCGAAACUGGCAGGCUAGAGUCUUGUAGAGGGGGGUAGAAUUCCAGGUGUAGCGGUGAAAUGCGUAGAGAUCUGGAGGAAUACCGGUGGCGAAGGCGGCCCCCUGGACAAAGACUGACGCUCAGGUGCGAAAGCGUGGGGAGCAAACAGGAUUAGAUACCCCAGUAGUC
rnacentral:rRNA from 1 species